CCCCGCCGUGCUCCUAGGCAGCCGUUGCUCGGCCGGUUUUGGUAGGCCCGGGCCGCCGCCAGGCCUCCGCCCGAGCCCGCACCCGCCAUGGACGACUACGCAGAUCUUUCCAAUACCGAGCUGACCGCCUUGCUGUGCCGGUACAACAUCCCGCACGGGCCUGGAGUAGGAUCAACUCGUAGGCUUUACGAGCAGAAGAUCUUCGAGUACGAGACCCAGCGGCGGCGGCUCUCGCCCCCCCCCCCGCUCGUCCGCUGCCUCCUCUUAUCGCUUCUCUGACUUGAGUUUGAAGUCAUGGGAUUCAGAUAUGUAUGAUCUUCCCAAGAAAGAGGACGCCUUACUCUACCAGAGCAAGGGCUACAGUGACGACUACUAUGAAGAGAGCUACUUCACUACCAGGACUUAUGGGGAGCCCGAGUCUGCGGGCCCGUCCAGGGGCCAGUCUGUGACUUCACUCCCAGAUGCUGACACUUUCCACCACCAGGUGCGUGAUGACGAUCUUUUGUCGUCUUCUGAAGAGGAGUGCAAGGAUAGGGAACGCCCCAUGUACGGCCGGGACAGUGCCUACCAGAGCAUGGCGCACUACCGCCCUGUUUCAGCCUCCGGGAGCUCCCUGGACCUGUCCUAUUAUCCUACUUCCUCCUCCACCUCUUCUAUGUCCUCCUCAUCAUCUUCCUCUUCGUGGCUCACCCGCCGUGCCAUCCGGCCUGAAAACCAUGCUCCUGGGGCUGAGCUGGACCAGGAUCACCAGGUCCCGCUCUGGGGCCAGCUGCUGCUUUUUCUGGUCUUUGUGAUCGUCCCCUUCUUCAUUUACUACUUCAUGCAGGCUGAAGAAGGCAACCCUUUCCAGAGGGAGCCCUGA